AAACAACCCAGACCGCCAGCUAAGGUCCCAAAGUCAUGGUUAAGUGGGAAACGAUGUGGGAAGGCCCAGACAGCCAGGAUGUUGGCUUAGAAGCAGCCAUCAUUUAAAGAAAGCGUAAUAGCUCACUGGUCGAGUCGGCCUGCGCGGAAGAUGUAACGGGGCUAAACCAUGCACCGAAGCUGCGGCAGCGACACUGUGUGUUGUUGGGUAGGGGAGCGUUCUGUAAGCCUGUGAAGGUGUGUCGUGAGGCAUGCUGGAGGUAUCAGAAGUGCGAAUGCUGACAUAAGUAACGAUAAAGCGGGUGAAAAGCCCGCUCGCCGGAAGACCAAGGGUUCCUGUCCAACGUUAAUCGGGGCAGGGUGAGUCGACCCCUAAGGCGAGGCCGAAAGGCGUAGUCGAUGGGAAACGGGUUAAUAUUCCCGUACUUGGUGUUACUGCGAAGGGGGGACGGAGAAGGCUAUGUUGGCCGGGCGACGGUUGUCCCGGUUUAAGCGUGUAGGAGG
rnacentral:rRNA from 1 species